rnacentral:rRNA from 1 species
CCAAUAGCGUAUAUUAAAGUUGUUGCAGUUAAAAAGCUCGUAGUUGAAUUUCGGGGUCGGUAGGUUGGUCAUGCCAUCGGUAUGCACUGGUCUCACCGAUUCCUCCCUCUUGUAGAAGCGUAAUGCCAUUAAUUUGGUGUUGCGGGGAAACAGGACUGUUACUUUGAAAAAAUUAGAGUGUUUAAAGCAGGCUAACGCCUGAAUACAUUAGCAUGGAAUAAUGAAAUAGGACGUCGAUCCUAUUUUGUUGGUUUCUAGGGUUGACGUAAUGAUUAAUAGGGAUAGUUGGGGGCAUUAGUAUUCAAUUGUCAGAGGUGAAAUUCUUGGAUUUAUUGAAGACUAACUACUGCGAAAGCAUUUGCCAAGGAUGUUUUCAUUAAUCAAGAACGAAAGUUAGGGGAUCGAAGACGAUCAGAUACCGUCGUAGUCUUAACCAUAAGCUAUGCCGACUAGGGAUCGGAUGAUGUUAAUUUUUUAAUGACUCACUCGGCGCCUUACG